UACGUAGGUGGCAAGCGUUGUCCGGAAUUAUUGGGCGUAAAGCGCGCGCAGGUGGUUUCUUAAGUCUGAUGUGAAAGCCCACGGCUCAACCGUGGAGGGUCAUUGGAAACUGGGAGACUUGAGUGCAGAAGAGGAAAGUGGAAUUCCAUGUGUAGCGGUGAAAUGCGUAGAGAUAUGGAGGAACACCAGUGGCGAAGGCGACUUUCUGGUCUGUAACUGACACUGAGGCGCGAAAGCGUGGGGAGCAAACAGG
rnacentral:rRNA from 1 species